UUGCCACAAUUCUGAGAAUCG
ensembl:piRNA 21ur-1159 ncRNA